UGCUGCUAGCACUCCUCGGCAAUAGAACUAGAAGAAUGUUGUUGAUGGCCCACCAGCGCGUGGAUUCGCAGCAGUUUUCGAGGGUAGAGUAUUCGACCCAAUUUGUUGGUUUACCAGGCAGGAGGUGAGAGAAUACCCUCAUGUAUUAGCAGCUGAAUUUGUCAGAUUCAACCACACCUGAAAGAUUAGUAUCUGCAAGCAUAGUAGUAACAGCAAAGUAGUAUGAUAACAACGGUGUCAGAAACGAUCUGUUGACGGCAGACUAUUCCUAACGAUUGUAUCAAUGGCGCCAAGUUGCCUCG
rnacentral:lncRNA from 1 species